AUGCUGCCUUCCAAGGUAAAAAAAACAGAGGAACACCACGGCCAUCGUAGCUGCUCCAUGCUGGGCGCCUUGUCGUCUUCGCCACCGGCGCCUGCUCCGCCACCGGCGCUCCACGCCGGAGCCUCAGAAGCUGCCACGAACUGCACCGCCAUAGCCACCCCGUGCCUUCCCUCUCUCGUCCCCAAUCUUUCCCUCUCUUGUCCCCAAUCUCGGGGUGGGAUUGGUAGUGCACGGUGAAGAAGAAGGGAAGAUCCAGGCUCGGAGAGGAGGAGGAAGAGCAAGUGGUCCAGGUCACGAAGGCAUCAGCGCUGACCCCCCCACCCCAACCCACCCAGACAAGCCCAUGUUUGAUUGCUGUUGAUUCGAUGACCUGCUGCACACAAGGUGUUCGAGAUGCCAUCCGAAAGUCGUAGUUGAAGGUGACACACAGCUGAUUGGUUUCUGUACUUCUAAUUGAUUGCAUCAAGCUGGAACGCUCUUUACAUUGUCUUUAGAACAGUAGGUAGUGUACCUCUGUGUUACAUUGUUAUCACAGCUGUAUGCAGUGUACUUGUGUUACAUUGUUGGCCCUGUGUUGCUAAUUGAUACUUUGAUGUCGUUUUCAAAUUUGUGAAGAUGUUCUAAUGCUUUAGAUUAUUCGCUUGUACGAUGGUACUUCUAGUCCA